rnacentral:rRNA from 1 species
GACGAACGCUGGCGGCGUGCUUAACACAUGCAAGUCGAACGGUGAAGCGCCUUCCUUUUUGGUGGGUGUGGAUGAGUGGCGAACGGGUGAGUAACACGUGAGUAACCUGCCCCCUUCUUCUGGAUAACCGCAUGAAAGUGUGGCUAAUACGGGAUAUUCUGGGUCUGUCGCAUGAUGGGUCUGGGAAAGAUAUUGUUUCGGUGGGGGAUGGGCUCGCGGCCUAUCAGCUUGUUGGUGGGGUGAUGGCCUACCAAGGCGGUGACGGGUAGCCGGCCUGAGAGGGUGGACGGUCACACUGGGACUGAGACACGGCCCAGGCUCCUACGGGAGGCAGCAGUGGGGAAUAUUGCACAAUGGGCGCAAGCCUGAUGCAGCGACGCCGCGUGAGGGAUGGAGGCCUUCGGGUUGUGAACCUCUUUCGCCAGUGAAGCAGGCCUGCCUCGUUUGUGGGUGGGUUGACGGUAGCUGGAGAAGAAGCGCCGGCUAACUACGUG